rnacentral:lncRNA from 1 species
UGGCAAUCAGAAAAAAAAAAUAUACAUAAUAUAUAUUAGAUGUAAGAGGGAAAGAUUUGAUUGGUGGAAUCCCUAAAACUAUGAAUUGAAGUCUAAAUGGGUAGUUAUGCUUAUGUGUCAAAUUCUAAAAUCUGAAAAUACAUUAUAUAUAUGGUAGAUAUCUGAUCGGAGACUUCUCAGUAUUAAUUAAAUCAUCCACUCCUACCCUUCACUCUUCGCCAUCCCAAUCAAUCAUCAGCCAGGAUGUCUGAGAGCCUAGCAGCCGAUGAAAUAGUGGCGGAGCUUCGCAACGACAUCCAGGAGCAGAACAAGCAGCUGGACGAGGCGUACGCAGAGAUCGACGCCAAGGACAAGCAGCUCAAAGAAAAGGACAAAGAGAUAGCCGAGCUCAAGAAGAAGGUUCUAGAAGACGGCCGAGGANNNNNNNNNNNNNNNGGUGCAGCGGAAAGCCUGACCGCCGACGAGAUCGUGGAGGAGCUGAGGAACGACAUCAGGGAGCAGAACAAGCAGCUGGACGAGGCGUACGCUGAGAUUGACGCUAAGGACAAGCAGAUCGCGGAUCUCAAGAAACAGCUUGCUGCUUCUCAAUCUGGCGGCGGCGGUGGUGGAGGAGGAAGCAGCACCGCCUCCGAUGCGGAGGAGAUCAAGAAUUUGAAGGAUCAGGUUGCUCGCCUGAAAGCUGCUCUCAACGCCAUGCUUGAUGCCUGAUUGAUUUAAUUCUCCAUGUUUGGAUGCUGUUAGUGUGUCUGUGUACUGUAUUUGUGUAAUAAAUUAUGAUCUGCUGCGUUAUCGGUUGGGUUAUCCUGAUUCUCCAGAUUUGUUGGAAUAAAUGGAAUGUAAGAUUUAUUCCCGGCUACUCUGCCGUAUUUUCUUUCUAAUUGAAAAACUACACUAGUGCUGUCGAAUGGGGAUAAAUUCCGAUAGAAUAUAACGCAGAGGAUGCUUGAAACUCAAAUGGAAUAUAAUUCCAUGUCAUCCACACCCUCGUUGAUCCACUCUGAUUCUGAAACUUUGCUACCGACAGCUCUUCUGGAAUUAGGUGAAGAAAGUUUAUAUUUAAAAUUAAGAAUUAAUACUAACUAAGAACUAAUACAAUAACGAAGGCCGAGACACUUAUCAAAAAAAGUCAUGGUAAUGUAGAGUUUCAAGUGCUAUUUAAUAGUUAGCGCUGUUAUCAUGUGUGAGACUUGGCAAAGGCAGACUAGAGACAUAUUGAAAUGGGAGAUCGUAAGUAAGUGCAUUGCCUCGGCAGAGACGGUGACCGUUGUCAAUUGUAGAGGCAUUGGUGUGAAUUGAAUGGAGCGCCUACUAUCGGUGUGCCAAGGCUUCAAUGUUGAGGAUCUGUCGCAGAAGUGGAGCGCUGUAGCAGCACCAAUGAUGUGAAGUUGACUUGAAGAUGACAAAUUGUUGUACAGGAGACACCUGCAUCGCUUUUGGGCUACGUUGGACUACACAAACCCUCCGACCGUGCUGAGUGGGAAGACGAAGCCCGUGCUAAACGCGAUGUUUAAACAUUGUCAGUGGUUUAUAAAUACUUUGCUCUCAAUUAAUCCAAUCGUGUAAAUGAUGAGCUCAGUUGAAUAUGCUGUGGUUAUAAGAAUAUUUUUUACAUUAACGAAAACAAACCAUUUAUUUCAAUUCACCCCAAUGAGAGUGGGCAGCACAGGCUUGCAGUUCGAUAGUAGGAAUUUGUUUUAUUACUGUAAUAAUAAAGGCAAGCAUUACAAAUGAUGAUUGGUAACAUUGAAGAUGCAAUCUAUAAAUUGGAUUAUAAAAGAAGAAAAAAUCAAUUUAAAGGAGGGGAGUGGUUGGAUUCGAACCCAAAAUUUCCAAAUUUCAACUAGGGAGGAUCCACUUACGAGAACCAUGUCCCAGGUUUGUAGUCUUCAAUUGGCCCAGGUUGCUGGCCCAACCCAUCCGCCUUGCCUGCCGAGAAGUGUGUGAAGUCGAGAAGUAAACUGACCAAAUGCCAAUUUCUGAAUGGUUGGAAAAGGUAUGUAUAGUCACGGAAACUCUAAAUAUUUAAAGUUUGGUCACCCAGCAACUUUGUAAGUGUCCAUAAAAACCCGGAUGAAAGUUGGAGAUGGGCAAGACUUGGUAACUGACUCAGGAUUUCAGGCUUUCAGCUUUCAGGUUAGGCUCUCGAUAGUUCAGCACCUGAAAGUUUCACGAAGUUUUAAAAUGGUAUUUUAACCUCAACUUUUUUUAUUCGACUUUAAGCACCGUUUUUGCCUGGACUGCGUAGGUGAGGAGUAUCUUAUGGCACAGAAACCUUUCAGAUCUUAGCUUUUAGAGUUUGCGAGGAAUGAUCGUUGAUCGUCGGAGGUGCAAUCGACUUUGGAUUGCUGUAGAAUUACCUGUUGAAGAUAAAACAUUUGGGAAAAACAACUUAGACAUUGUUUCAUUUGUUGUACCAAAUCCAAUUACACAAACAAUACAAUCAAAUUGUCCCUUAUAUUUUAGACAAUCAAUCUUGGGGAAUAAUAAUGUUCAUGAGAAAAAGGGGGGGAAAAAAAAAGAAGAACACAGGUUACAUUCAUUUGCACUAAUUGAUUAAAUACACAACAACAAUAUGUAGUUGUUCAGUUUUUUAAACCAUUGGCAAACUCUGCUCUCAAAUUCUUCCUCAAUAUUUUGCCGGAGGGUGCCUUUGGGAUAGAAUCCCUGAAGAACACUCUUCCUAUUCUCUUGUAGAACACAACCUGCAUCCAACCAACCCGUCGUUCAAUCAAAUCAAAUCAAAUCCCCCUGCUUGAUUCCAGACUACUUUAAGUUUGUGUUUCGAUUGAGUUAUAUUGUUACCUGUUUCGAGAUGUACUGCUUGAUUGCAUCCUCUGUGAGCUCAGAGUUGUCUGCUUUUACCACGAAUGCAACUGGGAUUUCCCCUGCUGACUCAUCUUUCAUCCUGGUACCCAAAAAACAAAAAGGAAUCACUAUUUUCAUCAGUUUCCAAUUGCAGGAAGGAAGAAAGAAAGUCUCUUGAUGCUUUAUAACAAGCAUAUGUACCCGACAACAGCUGCAUCAGAGAUCUGAGGGUGUGCAACAAGUAAGGCUUCAAGUUCAGCAGGAGCAACCUGGAACCCUUUGUACUUAAUGAUCUCCUUCAACCUAUCGACAAUGAAGAGCUCAUCGUCGUCAUCAAUGUAGCCAAUGUCCCCUGUGUGUAGCCACCCUUGUUUGUCAAUGGUUGCUGAUGUGGAUUCAGGGUCAUUCAGGUACCCUGAAAGUUUUCGGAGAACAAAGAAUUGAUCAUCUACAGACAUUAAUAUUUCGCAUGUACAAUAGUGUUUUGAAAUAAAAGUUGACUAACCCUUCAUGAUUUGGUGGCCUCGGAUGCAAAUCUCUCCAGGUUGGUUUCUUGGAAGGGAGGAUCCAGUAUCAGGGUCGACGAUCUUCAUCUCAGCAUUCCUGACAACAGUGCCACACGAACCUGCUUUGAUCUCGAAUGGUUCCUUGGCGAAUGCCAAGCACAUUGACAGCACUGGUCCUGCCUCUGUCAUUCCGUAUCCCUAGUAAAUCCCCAAAACAAACAAUGUUGAUUCCUUAUUAUUCUGUUAGCACUGAACAAUCAAAAUCUGAUCACUAAAUACUACAAGGUUGCAAAAAAGGGAAUAUGAAAUGACAGCAUAACGUAAUGGAAGUGAGUCCGAUUCUGGAACCCCACGAGCAAUCUGAAUCCUUAGAUCUCCCCAUGAUAUAAGGACCAAGUUAACUACAGGCAAUACGGUCAUGUUACUUUAAAUAUUUUUGUUGAACCAAAAUCAAAUCAUCUUCGAUCACCAUUCACCGGACCAUCGUUUCAGAUUCGUACUGUAAUGGAAGUACAAGACUCCAGCGUAAACCAUUAAAACAAAAAAGCAAGCUAAGUGAUAAUAACAAUUGAAAAUACGUUAACCAAUGAAUUCGUUCAAUUUUGGGAGACCAUCAUGUGAGACGAUGAUCAGCUACCAGACGCUAACCUUAUGAAGGUAAUGACUAUGUAGUAUGUACUAUAGUUUUUAUUUAAUGCAUUCAAUGUAACCUAACAUGGACCGACGAGAUGAUAGCUUCCAGGCAACCCACCAACCCCCUCUCUUCUUUUUUUUCUUUCUUACCAACCAAGUUCAGUCCAGCUCAUAAACGAUAAAAUUACUGUUCUACCCCCAAUAAUGUCUUUGUCGCUAUGCAGAUAAAUUUGGCGGCAAUCCGUUCUGGGUUUGUAAUUGACAUCCUCAGCAUCAAUAUUCAACGGCGUUGCCUGGUAGAUACCUACAAGAUUUUGUUGGGCUUUGAACUGACCAUAAUUACGGGGAUGCCCCUUCGUCAUCUAAAGUGUGUUUGGUUUAAGGCACACACAACAAUCACAUAAAGAAAAAACACGGAAAAGGAAACUGAAAUAUAAUUAGAACAAGAAAAAAGUAACUGGGCGGCAGCGGCAACAGUAAUUAUAUAUAUAAAUAAACCUGGAAAAACAACUCAACGCACCUGGCCAAGUCUGGCAUUUGGGAAUUUGUUUCUGACGGCAUCCUCCAGCUCCUUCCCCAACGGCGCCGCGCCGGACUUCAACAUCCUAAUCGACGACAAGUCGUACUUCUCCGUCUCCGUUGACUUCGCGAUCGACAGCACCACCGGCGGCACCAUCGGCCCUAUCGUGAUCCUGUACCUCUGGAUCAGCUCUAGAAGGGACCCGAUGUCGAACUUGGGCAUGAUUAGGAUCGCCGCCCCGACCCGGAGACCGCAAAGCAUUAUCGAGUUCAGCGCGUAUAUGUGGAACAUCGGCAGCACGCAGAGGAUCACAUCCUCCGAGUGGAAAUACAGAUUCGGAUUCUCUCCGUCCACCUGCUGCGCCACGCUCGUCACCAGCCCCUUGUGCGUCAGCAUCACUCCUUUCGGCAAUCCGGUGGUCCCGGACGAGUAAGGCAGAGCUACGACGUCGUCCGGGUUGAUCUCCACCUCCGGAGCCUCCGCUUCGUCUGCCUCGGCCAAUUCGGAGAAAUGCAAGCACCAAUCGAACGGAGUUGAAUCCACACACACGACCUUGAUCGAAUUAGCGAGAUCCUUGACUUUUUCGGCGAAGGCGGACUGCGUAAUGACCAAUUUAGCCCCGGAGGCCUUGGCCUGCUUGGAGAUCUCGGCGGGGGUGAAGAAAGGGUUGGCGGCGGUGGCAAUGGCUCCCCUGAAAGAAGCGCCGAGGAAGGCGAGCACGAACUGGGGGCAGUUAGGAAGGAGGAGCAUAAUCACAUCACCCUGACGGACGCCUAGUUUAUUGAGUCCGGCGGCGACACGGCGGGAGGUCAAGUGGACAUCGGCGUAGGUGUAGAUGUCUCCGUUGAGGGAAUUGAUAAGGCAGGGGCGGGAGGCGUGGUUGGAGAUAUUCUGGAAGAUGUAAGAAUGGAGGGGUAGGUGGUUGGGAAUGUCGAUGUCUGGCAAUUUUGAUCGGAAAAUGAAUUUCUCCUGCUUUUCCGGCGUCGCAUGGUUCAGCUGAAUCUGGUUGGAUUCCAUGGACAGAGAGCUGGAAAAACGGAGGAGUCUGGUUGGGGAAGUGAGGAGGAUCGGCAGCCUUUCUUCUUCUUCUUCUUCUUCUUCUUCUUCUUCUAAGGGGGGAAACAGGGGAAGGGAAAGAAACGAGGAUUUAAAAGGGUUUGAAUGAUGAGGGGUUAGAAUGGGAAAUAUACAUGAAAAAGUUAGGCUAGGAGGGUAAAAUGGAGAAUUCAGGGUGGGGGGGGGGGGGGUGGGGGGUUGGUGAUGACAGAAUCUGUGGAGUUGGGUUGGUGAGAAAGGAUAUAUUUAGUAGAUAAAUAGUUUUGUAAUAUUAUAUGACAAGGGCGGGGGUUGGUAAAGAGAGGCGACUGCCGGGAGGGGCAGCAGAAGGUGGACUGUGGGGUCCAAUUUGGUAGGUUUAUGUAUGGAUUAUUAAGUUAGAAAGAAUUGACUUGUGACAUUAUUUCGAAGCUAAAUCCGUCAUUGAGUUCAACAUUUAAAUCUAACUCAAAAUUUACACAUCGGUUGGUAUUAAAUGAAUUAAAAAUUUAUUUUAUUUUAAAAUACUUUAUUUAAAAUGAACUAUUUUUGGUCUCUAAUGUUAUAUUUCAUUCUUAAUCCCGCCAGCCAGGAGUUAUAAGUAGUUGUAUUUGAAUUGAACUUGAUCCCGCCAGUACUGACAAAUUCUAUUACUUACCCCCAAGACAAAGGAAAUAAAUAGUAGGUUAAUAAAUUAGGAAAAGAACUGUAAUUGGGAUCAGCAACAUCAAACUUAUAACAGAUUUUAUUAAACAAAUAAUGAGUUGAGUCAGGAUACUCAAAUUAAUCUAAUUCAAUCUGAAUAUGUUAUUUUUUUAUGAACAAGAAAGCACUAAGUUGGACAACUAAAAUUGAAAGACUUGGACCAUUACAAUGCAGCCAGCAAUAGCUCCAAGUUACUAGGAUAAAAAUAAAUUGAUAUCUUUUCUAUCUCAUUCGUUAGAUAGUAGUUACAUUUGUGCCUCAAAUCCACCGCUAAACCACCAUGUUGUAUCCAAAUUUGGGCCGCUGAAGCUGAAGCUGUGUACUUUAUAUAUAGUCAUGCAUUACUAUAUACAUGUGCCCACUACACACAUACACAGUCAGUGUGAUUCUGGACACCAAACAUGUACAUGGGCGUGUAUAUAUUGAGUUAAUGUUUUGUCUUUUUUCAUUUCUUUUUGUGAUUCCAUUAUAGUUUCCCCUACCACCCACCACUACUUCCUUUUUUUCUCUUUUAUUAUUAUUAUUAUUUCAUUUUAUUAUUGGUUUAAAAAUAUGAGUAAUUAAUUAUUAGAGGAUUUGAGAGUUGGUUAAAUUGGCAUUGUUCUGGAUCUCAAUUAUCGGUGCCCUUCACCUACUACUGCUGCUGCUACUGCCAGCAAAGCAAAGCAAAGCAAUAUUCCGCUAAUUUUCUAGACUUGGCCAUUGAUUUCAUUUUCAUUAUGUAAUUCAAAUCUUUUUCUGUUCGUUGCAGUUCACAAUCAACAACAAACGGAAGAUGAUUCAUAUGCAUUCACGUACCGUAAUAGUGUUUUUUACUGGACAAUUUUUAUAUUUGAAAUAAUAAAUAUACUUUAUUAAUUUUUUUUAAAUGGAUUAAUAACACGGUUCACACUUUUUCAAAUAAAGUUUGGACGAAGGUGUCCGAUGUCCAAAAUGGCUAUCUAUUGCUAUCUAAGACUACACUACUCCUAUGGAGGUUUUAAGAGAGUUCCAAAUGACUACCAGCAAUAGACAGAAUGCCUGCUUGAUGAGAUUUUUGUCCGUCUUCUUUUUUGUUGCUCGCUUCUUGUACUUAUAAGGAGACAUUAGUGGUUACUGCUAAUGGAAGCAACUACCAUGAGAGUUACGUCCCACUUCAUGGACGUGGCUAUGAUCAUGUUGUUGGUGGUUUCUCUUCUUCAACUGUCUUGGCCUUCUCUUAUAAUGUUGGUGGUUUCUUCUGUUUUUUCGGUAAAGUAGUCAAUGGGUAGACUAGAUGAGAUGGCAGUUCCUAGAACGCAACCCACUGAAUGAUCGUCGAUAGGAGUUUGUUGACUAGGUAAUCAUCGAUCGGAGACUGUUAAUGGGGACCUGGAUGACCAUCGAUGAAGGUUGACAGUAGAUAUGAGGCAAUUGAUAUGGUGACCAUCGAUAGGAUGGCAGUCCGGUUGGAUGGCCAUCAAUACGACUUAACAACAGACGACUGUAUGACCAUAGAUGGGUGGCAGUCAUCCAUAGAAUGCAUGAACGAGUAUGUCAUUUGGUGUUAGACUCUACUUAUCGGAAGUUUGUCACUUUGUUUUAACUACUGUUGAAGGAUUCUUAAUAAUUUACCUUGGGAGGUGGUAGCCAGUGGCCUUAUGAUUAUUUAACUCUGUGCCUAGUCAUAAGAGAUGGCUACCUGCUCUGCAUCCUAACUUCUACCCACUCAAUAAAUUGCGGAAAUCCCAUAUAUGACUUUGUCGAGUGGGCAAUUUAUGAGGGCUUUUCCUAGACACGAUCUAUCUCAUUUUCGAAUUUAGGAUACUAAUAUUAUUUAACUUUAUAUAUAUGUGUCUUUGUGUAAUUUAACUAGCUAGUACCCAGCCAGAUAAGAUAGCAAUUCAGUCCCAGGGGUACAGAGUAUUUUUCUAACACAUUUGUCUUCUAUUUAAAGUAAACAUGAAGAGUUUUGAGGUUUUAUUUAAGAUUUACAGUUUAGAAUAAAAUAUUCUAAGUUUAGAGUUUAAUUUUUUAUUGUUAAGGUAAAAUACUUUAUUGUAAAUUCAAACACUAAAAGUGUAUUAUUUUCCUCCAUAUGAAUUAAAAAAAUAUAAAUUUAAGUUAUGAUAUAGUGUUUUAAAAUUAAGAUUUAGUGUUUAGCGAUGAAAUAUUAUUUUUUAGUACUUGGAAAUACCAAAACAAACUGGGAAAGAAGUGGUUUGGGAAGUAAUUCUUUUGGAAUCAGCUUCGAGAGAAACAAAUUGAAAGCUAUGACUGCAUCUGCACAUUUGCACGGCAAGAAGCUCAAGAGUAGCAACAUUUUUUGAUCCUGGAAAAAUUCGAAAAGACAACAUCCUGACAACACCUUACAUAUCAUGAAUGAUCGUGAACCAUUCACCUGACCCAUCCCCCUUGAACGUACCACGCACCUGAAUUAAUCGGUAUUAGAUAGCAUCGACAUUGAUCUUCACUCAAUUCUCGGACAGACGGAUAAAUAAAUGAUGGGCCAAAGAAAAAAGGGUCCCAGGUCCAUGUUGCAGCAUAUCGCUUUGACUAACUGCAUUGUCAACCCAAUUUAAGGAGGGACGGAUAAAUAAUUGAAUUAUCAGCAACACUUACGGGCGAUAUUUAAGAGUCUCAUGUGUCACAUAAUAGGCGGCUCUAUUAUCUGACCGUCGAACAGUCUAGUCGGAGCACGGGCAAGAAUGCGAGCAUCUGACAAAUCUUCUGGAUGAUAGAGCCUUCGGUUGCCAACUGAAGUGGCUGGCGCGUAAGCAGGUCGCCACUGCUUCCGCGUCUCCUUGAGAUCUCUUAAUUAACCUUUACGAUACACAUCAUCGGGACAACCCAAAUACAUAUGAACCAUUGCGAGUCUUAGUUGGUCCUUGAGACCCAUCAUAUCGACUGAGAAGCAGCAGAGUAGUACUUGGUGCAAGAAGUGUAUAAAGGACCUUCAAGAAAGAGGAAAAUUAGAAUCUUCCCUACAUUCUCAUAAUCAUCUUCUCCCGAAGAGUGAAAUAAAAAUGAAGGAAUUAUAGACGAGGAAAGUAAGCACAUGACAAACUCAUAAUAAUUGAAAAGGUCACUACAAAAAAGAAAAGUAAACAAAACAGAGAAGGCGAAGAAUGAAGAGUGAAGCAAAGGGAAGUAAGAAACUUCCCUGGUGAGAGAACUCCAACAUGCUAUCGGCAACAAAUUAUCACCGGAGACGCAGGCAGCAUUCCAUUGACGCUCCUACGUCACAGCUUUGGUCUGGAACCGUGAAUCACCAAGUAGCAACGUCACAAAAUGGUGGACGACACAAGGAGGCAAGGACGGCGAGCGGCGAACACGCUGCAAGGCUAAACCGGUCAAGAUUUUCUUCGACCACAACGGAGCAUUAGUAAUUAGUGUGUUACUACAAAAUAAAUCAAACAUAAAGGAGAAAAAGAAGAAUAAAAGAACAGCCAGAAGUAAAAAGAGUCAGAAAUAAUUAGCAAUGAGUAGAAAGAACAGGGGAAGAAAAGUAGUAAGAAUCGAUAGAGAUAUGGUGCAGUGCAACAAACUACGCGCUGUCCGUAACGGAAGAUUGUGAACGCAAUGGUGACCACUAGUCCUACAACGGCUUCUGGAAACUCAAUGCCACCAUUGUCCUCCUCCGCUAACCCAAAAACAGGAGGGAGUUCACGUAGUCGCGUCCAUGUUCGCGGCAAAACGAUAUGCGCUGCUACGGACAGUACGGCACCGUCAUCUGUCGCCUUGCAUGUGCCCAGAAUUGCCCCUUUAUGAUUGACGGCCAGAGACGAGAUCGGAGUGGCUGAGCGGAGACGAGGUCGGAGAUCGCGUUUGGGAGCGGUUCCUUAGUAACCGCCUCAGAGCAAAUGAAAUUAAUCUGUUAUAAUCUUGUUAGAUUCAAUUUUCAUGAGAUAAUUUUCGGUUGAUAACUAUUCGUUUUAGAUAGAAAAGAAAAGGAGAUUUUAACGUGGAAUAUCACCCCUGCUAGUAGCUUUAUUAUUAACACAAACAUUACUCAUCAACUCUAUAUAUUAUAUAUUUUCAAAUUUGUAAUUUUACAACAUCGGUAUUUUUGAGAAAUGAAGCCUUUUUCAUAAUUUUUUAUUUUCAACCUUUAAACUUUAUUCUUUUAUUUUAAUUUUUUAAAUUCUCUCCCAUGUUCACAUUUUUUUCCUUUUUAAUUAAUUUUUCCUUCCUAAAAUUUUUAUAAUUUACCCAAAACAUAUUAUUCUCACAAAUAUUAUUCGUUAUANNNNNNNNNNNNNNNNNNNNNNNNNNNNNNNNNNNNNNNNNNNNNNNNNNNNNNNNNNNNNNNNNNNNNNNNNNNNNNNNNNNNNNNNNNNNNNNNNNNNNNNNNNNNNNNNNNNNNNNNNNNNNNNNNNNNNNNNNNNNNNNNNNNNNNNNNNNNNNNNNNNNNNNNNNNNNNNNNNNNNNNNNNNNNNNNNNNNNNNNNNNNNNNNNNNNNNNNNNNNNNNNNNNNNNNNNNNNNNNNNNNNNNNNNNNNNNNNNNNNNNNNAAAUAAUAUAUUAUUAUAUAUUAUAAAUAUUUAAAAAAUCAAAAGUGGCACAUCAACUUUUACUAUAAUAUGAUUUUGCCUUAUUGAAACUAAGUAAAUUAAAAUAUAUUGUUGUAUAUAUUAUAAUAUUAAAUUAAAUGAUUGAUUAUAAACAUUUAUGUUCUCUUGAUUUAUUAAAAUUGAACUUUAUAAUUAAAUUUUAAAAAGAUAUAAAUUAUAUGUCCCGAGUUAAUAUAUAUUAUGUGUGCAAUUAUAUUUGCUCUGCUGCAUUAGUUAUUGAAUUGAUGAUGACGAUCAAUUUGGUAGUUAAUGUUGUCCUGGCCUUGACCAGCUCCUGCAUGAUCUUAAACCGAUUUCACUCACUCAAGGAUACAAUGACUUCUUUUUUUUGGACGGUUGGAGCCCCCAGGAGAACUCCAAGAAACCACGUCGAACACAAUGCGUGAAUGAAGCUCCGUCAGCGGAGGUGUUCACUCGGGUACUCAUUAUCGUUCGGGUAACGCAAAUCUGUAUGGAUAAACGGGUACCCAUCAUUCAUACGGGAUAUAUAGCGGUACCCAUUUUACCCAUAAAAUAUCCGAAUAAUAACAAAAUACAAAAUAAAUAUUUACUAUUCUAAAGCCCAAACAUCCAAAAUACAAUCCCUUAAAUUAUUCUAAUAUUACUAAUAAUAUUAGUCUAAUAUUAUACAACACUACUAAUGAUAUUAAUUUAAUAUUAUAUAUUGUUAAUGACAUUAAUUUAAUUUAAUGAUUAUUAUGAGUACCCAUAAUACCCGAAUGAAAUUUGCGGGUAACCACAAGUAUCCCAUAUGUUAAUUUGCAAUUCCAUAUCCCAUCUCAUUUGAACAUUACAAAUAUUAUAAAUACCCAUAAUCCAAAAAAAACAGGACGAAUAUGGGUAUAUCCAAACACCCAUUACCCGAUGUCCAGCCCUAGGCAUGACGGAAAAUGGUGUCGUUGUGAUCCUUCCAAACAUUCCAACAUGUGGAGAUAGUGGUCAAAGUUCGGAGAGGUGUGUUGGAUAGGAAGAGGUCUUCCAGCCAUUGGACCAAGUCCUGACCGGUCGGAGGAGCGCCUCGAUCGACAAUGGGGAGCUGCCAAGCUUAGCGAGCACAGGCUCAAGAAAAAAGAGCAAUGGGGAAGAUGCUCAUCAUAGUUGAAGCAUCAAUGGCAAAGCCUACUUGGGCUGCAAUUUCGGUGAUGAAGGUUAACCAUGGUAGCUAAGCCGUUAACCAUGCAUCUCCAGACGAAGAAGAUGAUGCGUGGGAGAAGUUUAGAUGACCAUAGCUUCUUUCAAAAGGUGGGACUAGGCCUCUGAGCGGGGGAAGGGUUAGAGUCUGCCACACAGAUGCUAUGGCAAGCGGAUCGGACCGUGAAGGUCCUAUUAUUAGUUGCCGUCCAUCUCCAUUCGUCUUCCCUAUUCAGGGGACCUAACGGAAUGUUCUCAAUAGUCAUUGUUAGAUCAAGGAUAUAAUAACACAAAUUCCCACCGCCAUGUUGACAUUUACAUCCCACAAAGGAACCACUAAGUUUAGAGUAACAUACAAGGGGACAAGAAUAAAGAAACUGUAGGGAAAGAUGAACCAACUGCUAAUUAAUCAAUUCAAAAUCCCCAAAAAUCAUUAACUUUUCCCUACUAAUUACCUAGCCACAUGAACCGCCAACGGCACCAGCUCCGACAACGGAGAAGCCACGGGAGUCGGAGCCGGCGAAACCCGACACAAAGGACACGUGGCGGUCACCCUGAGCCACUCGUCGACGCAAUCGGCAUGGAAGCAGUGGUUGCAGUCUGGUAUGCAGCGCAGCGUGUCAUUAGCCCGGUAGUCAGCCAAGCAGAUGGAACAUGGGCCGUUGUUGGGCCUGGGAAUGCGCCUACUCUCUCCCACCACAAUCUUGGGCAGCGAGUUGAUUGCGGUCGGAUCCAGCCCAGCCACAGCCUCCGGCGCCAGUUCGGAGGAAGAGUUGUCGCGGCGGAGCUGGUGGUGGAGCUGGUAUCGGUAAUUAUGGACGAUAACGUCCUGGUCGUCCAAGUGGUGACUGGUGGUGCUUCCGCUGCUGCUGCUACUAAUCUUGAGGCGCACGCAGAUGUAAGAAGCGAGCAUGAUUGUGGAGAUGAGGACGAGGAAGCUGACGGCGAUGGCGAUUCCGUAACCGAGGCCGACACCGGUAGCCGACACCGGUGGUUCGGCUGAGGACAUGAGAGAGAGAGAGAGGGAAGGGGGAGAGAGAAGGAAAAAGUAGGGGGUGUGAGGGAAUUAAUAGGAAAGUGGGAGUUUAAAGACUGAGGCUUGAGGCAUUGAAGUCCGAAUCUGGAGCUAGAGAUGUGAGUGAGUUUUAAAUCUGAUCCAUAACCGCACAAAUUUUAAUUGAAUUUUGUGUUAGAUCUAACAGCUGAAAUAAUAGAGGUAAAAUUAAAAAAUUUACAUAUAUAUACAAAUGUGUGUAUGUUAAGUAUAAUAUUUAGUGUGAAUUCUUCAGUAUAUCUGAUAUAUCGAAAUUUUUGGUGUGUCCAAUUUUUUUUGGUAACGUAAAUUUAUCAUCACCGUCCAUUUUCAGUUUGCGAUCUUGACGGUUCACAAUUAUUCAAAUAUUAAAUUUCCAUUUCACAUUUUAUUUUUGAUUUCAGUUUGUGAUUUGAAAUUGGAUUGUAAUUGAUCCAAAAUUUCAUGUGAUUUCAAAUAAAAAAUUUAAAUUGAAUUGUAAUUGAUCAAAAAUUUAAUGUGAUUUCAAAUAAAAAAUUUAAUGUGGUUUGAGUAAAAUUGUUGCGGCUGUUUUUUGCUGUCAUUUUGGGUGCCAUACAUGGUGUUUUGUUUGGUUUUUCAGUUGCAGAAUGUCCCAAAUCUUGUUUUGAAGCACCGGGAUUUUGUUAUCUUGCUGCAUUUUUCGAAGUUGUGUGAGAAAACAUAUGAGAUCAAAAAUAUAAUGUGAAAUAGAAAUUUAAUAUUUAAAUAAUUGUGAACCGUCCGAGAUCGCAAACUGAAAAUGGAUAGUGGUGAUGGAUUUACAUUACCAAAAAAUACUGGACACACCGAAAGUUUCGAUAUACCAGAUAUACUAAAGAAUUCACCAAUAUUUAGUAUUACACUUUGUAUAAAAGGUAUAUAAAUCUGUAUACACUUUUGUAUUGGUUUUUACAAACCUAUAUACAUUUAUAUUAUCUGUACAACUCUCUGUACCAGAGUUGUAUGAUCGGUUAUUAAAAAUUAUUUCUCAAAGAUAAAAGUUUCCGAAAAUAUAGAGAGCCGACGAUGAUGAUCACGUGGGUGAAAAAAAUUGAUCACGGAGGUCGGAAUCUUUGAGAAAUUGAUCGGGAAUCUUUUCGGUGACUGGACGUGGUAGUCUGGUACUGUAGACGUUGUUGGUCCGUCAAUCAAAAAUGACUGGGUUCUAGUCCAACAAAGAUACUUAUAAUAACAUGACAAUAUUAUCCACGGUUAAUCUUAUCCCUUAUCUCAUGUUGAAAUCCAAGAGCCCAAAUUGCUCUGGAUCGAAUCUAGGAGGUAAUGUCCUUAGCUCUAGAAUCAGACUCGAGGCAUUGGGAUCUAUGUUAAACGCUUAGAGAAUGCGAAAAUGGAUUAUUUUUUAAUACAACGGGGGAGGGGAGAAGGGGAGGGAUGGGAUAUUAAAUGCCGUUACGUAGGUUGAGUAUUGUUAGGACGAUUCAUUUAUGAUCAUAGGGGCCUCAGUUUCAUGUUCAUUGUUUUGUUUCCAAGGUUUAAUUAUUAUUAUUAUUUUUCCAGAUUAGUAUAUAAAAUUACGGAUAGUAACAUGGCAGCUUCUUCUCCACUUCUGCUAAUUAAUGACGCUCUACAGCAGAGAUUCUUAUUUGUUUUUAGGACCGGAAUUGAUAAUUUAUAUAAAUUGAUAGGAAUAAAAAUUAUAAAUGGAUUAUGUGUAAUUUUAAUUUAUGUAUUUAUGAAAAUAAUUGAUACAGGAAUUGUUCACACAGUUUGGGAACUCCCUAAUCUGCAGAGUCUCAGUAAGGGAGAUUUGGGCCAAAUUCACUAUCACUAGUCACUGAGAAGAGUAUAGAGAUGAACAAGAGAACUCCGAUACAAAUUCAGGAAGACAACAGAGCAAUCAAUCAACACGGAGGAACAUAAUCAAAAAGAACUAGAGAGAAACAAUAUUCCCUGAUCUGAGCGACGGCUGAAACUCCGAUUCAUAAUCCACCGUCCGUCGAUAAAGAACCCUAACAGUUUUGAGAGGAUCCCAAGAUCCAGGUGAGAGAGAGUAGAGAGGUGAGAAUGGAGAGAAUGCGGCUUCUGUGGAUCACGUCAGCACCUCUUGGAAUUUAUACUAAGGUUCCCACAUCGAAGCGUGCCGUUUCAUUAAACGGUGAGAAGGAUUAACCAUCAUAACCGGUCUGACCCAACCAACUCGAAUACAACCCAGACUUGGAUUUGAUUAAGUAUCAAAGACUUAUCAGUUUUGCUUAAUGUGUUUAGUUUUUCCAGUAUGAGAUUACUUAAUUAUGGAGCUCCAUAAAACAGCUAGGUAUUUCAAGAUUAUAACAACCUCAACUGCCAAGACUUUAAAUUUGAUUGCCAUGAAGCCACAACAGGGUCUGCAGUCAAAACUGUGCUGGUUCAGGAAGACUAAACAUAGAACGAUGUUGAGGCAUAAAUCUUAAAUUAGUCAACGGACUCCCAAGAAAAUAAAUGGGUUUGGAGUUGGAGAGAGCGGAGGUCUAAAGACCAAAGUCAAAAUUAGAAGAGCUGGACUGUUGGAGUAAGGUACGUAUGCUGCUAAGCCAAAGACAGCAAGCAUUAGUUGCAACCAGUGAGAAGGUGACACAUAGGCCACCUUCAAUCCCACCACACAAAUUUCCCACCUCAAAUCUUUCACCACAGACCAAGAGAACAAAACCAUUAAGCAUCUCACUCUUUCUUCCUCCUCCACUCUCUCCACCGCUCUGCAUUUCUCUCUAAUUCAUUCCCCAUAACUCAAACACAAUCUGGAACAAAUUCAGUUUCCCAGUCUUAUUAGCUCAACUUGGUUUUCUGGUUUUCUUUUCCCUAGUUGUUGAAUACUUUGUUCUAAACUAAAGGGAAGAAGAAAAAGAAGAAGAUGGCUCUGGCAUGUGCCUCUUCUUCGCAGGCAAUCAUCUCAUCUGUCAAUUUCACAGCUUCUUCUAAUAACAGGUUUUCCAGGGUCAGGGCACGCCACAGUAAGCGGCAAAGUUUGAAGCUUUUCACUGCCAGAGCUUCUUCUUCUGAGGCUGAUCCUGAUUGCAAUUCGGAAGAAUGUGCUCCUGAGAAGGAGGUAACCUUUCCUUUUGAAUUCCAUGCACCUUUCUCACCUAUAUUGAACUUAUAGUAAGCCAAAAUAAACCAUAGGAUAUUGUGAGAAUAUAUUUGUUCAUUUUUUUUAGUCUUUGAUUACUCAUCUCAUAUGAUGUUAGUGGGUUGGUUGAGACAGGUUGGGAAAGUGAGUAUGGAAUGGUUGGCUGAGGAGAAAACCAAAGUGGUUGGGACAUUUCCACCUCGUACUCGUGGUGGCCGUGGCUGGACUGGCUAUGUUGAGAAAGACACUGCUGGCCAGACCAACAUCUACUCCGUUGAGGUUUGUAAAACCAUCUUUCUUUGGUUAUACUGGGCUUUAUAUAUAUAAAGCUAUUCGCUUAUGCUAAUUUAUUACAUGUCCACUUAUCCCUAUUCUUCAUUUCGCAUCUUUCCAGCCAGCAAUUUAUGUAGCCGAGAGUGCAAUAAGUUCAGGGACUGCAGGUUCCUCCUCAAGCGGUGCUGAAAACACUGCUGCAAUCGCCGGUGGCCUCGCUCUCAUUGCUCUCGCCGCAGCUUCCUCGAUUCUCAUUCAAGUGAACAAGAACCCACCUCAGGUGCAGACUACAGUUGAAUACAAUGGUCCAUCUUUGACCUACUACAUUAACAAGUUCAAACCACCAGAGGUUGUCGUCCAAACUGCAGUGCCAACCGAAACUGGAUCUGCACCACCUGUACUCACAGAUUCCUCAACGCCAGAAGCUCCCCCGGCUGAGGUUCAGUCAGAGGAAUCUUCAGCUUCAGCUUCAGCUGAGAUCACGGAUGCCACCCCAGUUGAGGUUCAAUCAGAACUCCAGCCGGAAUCUGCGCCCUCAGCUGAGAACUAAGUUUUGCUCCAUUUGCCGAAUUUUCAAUACUGUGUGGAGAACACAUCUGUACUCAACUACUAGUGUAUAGAGAUGUUUUUAUUAUUAAAUUCCUUGUUAUAUGAGAGACUCCAUGACAAUAGGGUUUACAGCAUGAAAAUAGAGAACUGCAGAAUUCAGGGAAUAUUUUCUAUCCACAAAAGCUAGAUGAGAGCUUUUCACGUCAUGCCUCAAGUUUCAACUUCGAUUUCAUUCAUUAUCAACACAGUAACAGAUUAAGUCUGUAUCAGUCUCUUAAGAAUUCAUUCCAUACCGAUCAAUAGACCAAGUUCCUUAAUACUGUUGCUCAAAUAAGGAUGAUUCGUUGAAAUCUAGAAUACAAGCUUGAUCACUAGUCAUACCAAGGUCGUAGCUCAAGCCUAAUUAUCUCUACAAGUCACCCUAAUAAUAAACACAUUGAUACACAAGGCACAGACAAAAUGGACAGUAGUAAACCCAGAAAGUACACUUCUUCUCAUACCAUAGCAGAAGUAAAUGCGUUGUGGCAGACUAACGUGGCCGCUCCGGUAAAGAGUAGAAGAUCCAUUGUAAGGUCAAGCUCCCAACAUAAUAGACCAGUGGGUCUCAAGUGCACACUGUUGGCAGGUGACGUUUCCCCGAACUAAAGUAGUUAAUUAUUUUGUAUACAGAAAUAGUAUCCAGAUGGUGAAGACCUAGGAUCUCUCACGCAUCUUUGCCCUGGCAAAAAAUACUCCAGCCACCAAACCUGAAGAGAAGGAAAGACAUUGUUUUAGUGAUAUGUACAGGUGAUAAUAUGCAUAUGCAGGGCAUGAAAGGAAAUAGAGAGCAAGCAAAGAUGUACCGAAGAGGAUGCUAGCAGAGUUCUCCAAGCUUGUGGGUACUUUGAACAAUAGGAUGCCCACUACUGAUAGAGGAAUCUUGUUCAGUGAGCCUACAAGGCUGCAGAUUCCAACCGAGAAAGCCGUUAGGAAUUAUCUUUUGUGUAAAAUAUCCGCCUUCAACUAUUUUUAGUUACCUAUAUGUGGUAGCUCCUGUCUGGUGAAGAAACCACAUAGAAGUGAAGCUGAUGCCGAGACCCAAGAACCCACUCAAUGUCAUUACUGACCAGAAGCCAGGUAACCUCAAAAGAGGGCUGCCAAUUUGUUACGAGAAAUUUAGGGACACGCCAAAAAAUACUCCAUUGACAUGAAAUGAGAAACAUGAAACAAUUAAGGAAAUAAAAGAAAAGAGGGUUAGGAACAUAAACUCACGUCGUGGAGAGAUAGUCCACCUCAUUGAAUACAAAUAUUAGAACAAGUCCUAGAGGCAAGGAAAGUGUGUUGUUGAGCAAGACCAUGGAGAACUCGUUCAAGUUCCCCGAUUUUGUAACGUGCUUCGCAGUGUCCAUCACCCUACGUAGAGUCAACUGCAGCAACAUUAAAAAAAGAAUCAUAAAGAGAACAACACCAGCCUCUCAAACCAAUCAUCUUGGUACUGUUCUUUUUGCCCAUUGCGUGGAGUUCAAUUGAUUUUGCUCCUCCUUCACUGCUACAUGUUCACUACUUCUUCAGCUUAAACGUUCAAGGUUUGAGACACCUUGAAUUAUUAAGAUGCAUAGCAGGCAGCUAUCACAUAGGGAAUUUGUGUCUUCAAAUACGAAACAGCAUGAGCUAUUGAAAAUUGAAUUUUACAAAGCCAAGCUUUGGCUCAUGUACUCACUGAAUACGAUGCUGUGAGAAAGCAGUUUAGGAUCUGCCAUGUAUAGCCAACGGCAUGAAAUGAUAGAUCAGUGAGCCCUCCAGAUAUUGCUGAAAUGAUCUGGGAAAAACAACUCUGGCUGUUAGUGUUUCUCAAAAUGCUUCAAGCAGUCAGCAGACACAUUACCAGAUGUGAUAAUGAACGUGGCACCCGACAAUAUGCACACAUGCUUUCAACAUGAAUAUCUAAGAUUUAUUCCGUGACAUCGGUGAAUGGCCACUAGCCAGUAGACCAUUAGUUAAAUGGGAGCAGCAGUGCUCUUUUACUAAAAAGAACAUACCAUUAAGAAUAAAGCUGCCCACACUCUAUUAUCAUGGUGCUUCUGGAAUAGAUACAUCUCGCCAACCGCAGUAAUAACAUUAGUUACAUUCUUUAAUACUGUAACCAUGGCAACAUUAAUAUACUUCAAACUGCAACAGCACAAAACAAAACAACUAUCAGCAUCAGGAUUAAAGGAAAACCGAACUUCUGAAGAAGAAAAAAAAGAACAAUGAAGUUAAUGAACACCACACCUAAACAUGCUUGUGAUGAGCAUUCCAACAAAUAUGACAUUCACCGGCAACCAGACUUUAAGUAAUCUCCAUGUUAGCGGUUCUGUUGAAACUAGGCCCAGGAAGCUCAACAUGGAUACAAUGAGUACUGAAAUAAAAUUCUGCAUCCAGGUAAAAGGUGCAGUGCAGUCUUGUCAGAAGUCUCCAUUUCAAUUAAUAAAGUAGAGAACACUGUCUAGAGAGCAGACAACUAAACCAAAUUAGAUUGAUGAGGCUAAGAACUUCACCUGGUACAACAUCAAAAAUAUACCAGCAUUGAAGUUAUAGCUGGAGAGGACAAAUUUGUUGACCAAUAUCAUGCUGCAGGAGGAAAUACAAUAUGCAAGGCCAGAUAAUAAGGCCUGAUUUCGUAUCGUAACUUUGUUACUGCGUAUAACUUUAUCUCCAGGCUUUUCCAGCUUUCCAUCUUCCAAAUCAAUCUCUCCAUUUUCAUGCAACUUCAUUGCAAAUGGCGACCUGUACCAUGGAAACCACAAUAAGGUUUAUAGUACCAACAAUUAGCAGAGGAGACUAUUAUGCUACCCUCUCUGGUUAACCGACUGAUCUGCCCUUCUUAUUGGUAAUCCAUAAAAAGGACAACAUCUCCAGCUGGACAUUUGGUGCAAUUAUGUACACUGAUCCCAGUAUAUAAUAGUGUGUCCAUUCUUAGUGAGAUACUGUGGAAUUAUUGAACGUCGUCUGAUCAUGUUAGGGUCAACCAUUGUAUUUCCUAGCUGUCCGAGUCGAAAAUUCGAGACAACAUAGGAGAACUUGCAAGAGACUUGUUCUGUGUCCUAAGGCGAUUUCAGAGGGUAGAGAACCAAGUAACAUAUAGCUAAGGGGGCAUUCAUUAUAGGAAUCAGAAGGAAACAAAGCAUACUCUGACCAAAUUCCUUCCAUAAAAUUUCAACACUGCAGUUAAAGAUUUACCAAAGUGAAAGGCUGAUCUAAAGGUACAAGAUGAUAAAGUGCCAAACGUACCUGUUGACUGCUUCUCUUCUCAGUGGACUGGACCUCUGGUGGUCUACAACCACACUGGAUUCAUGAUUUUUGAAGCUUCCUCCACCUCGGUUAGCAUUACCUACUCCCUCCGCCAGAUCUCUUUCGUAAUGAGAAUCAGGAGACUUGAUGGAAAGAGACCUUCAAAAGAAAAGAUACUGAACCAUAUUAACUCUAGACCCAAGAGUUCAAAAUUCAUAACUUCAAAACAGCGGAAAAGGAGCCAACUUUGACCUAAUCGUAAACCAACUCAAAAUCAAUAGGAAAGCAAUGGAACAGGCAGUUUCCUAGGACACAUAUGUAAGCAAGAGGACCACUGAACUUACUCAAGCAACCAACUUUCAGAAAGAACAAGAACUAUCUAUCUAUCUGUCUGUCACUGUCAGCCAACUCACAUUAGAAACACAAGGUUCCGUCUUUGAUUCACGUGACAUGAAACUGGAAGGGAGAUAUGAUGUAAACCAAGGUACAGGAGAAGUCAAAGGAAAUUACCUUGUACCCAUUAGAAGUUGAUAUCUCAAGCUCGAGAAAGUAGGGUCUCAGCCGGACGGACGGACGGACGUAGAUUGGUCAGAAAAUCUCCCGCCAACACAAUAUGGUCAACAGGAAUUGGGGGAUUACAAAUGAAGUAUUUGGGUGGGAAUCAAGAGACUGUCGGGAGAUUUCGAGCAGCUGAUGCAAACAAAAGUGGUGAUCUUUGGGUUGAAUGAGUUCAAAAACCCAUCCACUUUCAAGUAGCGAUACAAAUAAGAGAAGAAGAGGAGAGAAGUCCUUUUCUCUCCCUGCUGCUGCUUCGUCUUCUUCCUCUAGCUAUUUUGUUUUCCUUUUCAAUUUCUGCUGAGUUUUAUAAAUAAAUAAAUAAAUAAUAUCUUACUAGUUCCGUCUAGUCGCCUGUUGAGAUUGUGGCUUUUGAUUGGGCAAACGAGUGAUAGUCGCAGAUCGGCGUCGCAUGGCUAAUUGGCCAAAAGAAUUAUGCACUUUCGAUCCGGAAGCCAAUCUCCCCAAUCUAAGGGUGUAGAUUGAUCAAAGAUAAAAUUGUCAUUUCAUAUUUAAAUAAAUUUAUUUUUUAAAAUUUUGAUGUUCAAAGAUGAUUGGUCGACAAAAGAUAAAGAAUCAAUUUUAUUCAUUUUUCUUUAUGCGACAGUCAUCACUAUAUCAACGAUUCCCCCAUUUCUGGUCGAUAACAAUCUCUAACAGCUUUGGUACUUUUGCAUAUUUGCCUUGUGCAACCGCAAAUAACCGCCAAAACAUCGAUGAAUCAAAGAUGAGAACAUUGUAGGCAAGUCAAAAAGUGUUCUGAAAGGCGAUCUCUAACGAGUGUCACUUGAUAUUUUGAGAUCGAGUUCUUUAUUCAAUCCUGAUCCAGUUUUUAAUUUACCAUUACAUAUAGCCUUUAUAACUUUGUUGGCUUGACUAUUUCGAAUAUUAACCCUUCUCUUAAAAAAUAAUCAAGGAAGACACUUGUGUGAGGAACCCACUCGCAUCACCAUGACUUUUAGCAACCACAAGUCCUCAACUAGUUUCAAUUGAAGUUGACAAGCAAAACAAUGGACGUUGUAGGUUGAUGGAUCUUCUGAUAGGUCACAUAUAAAAUAAGUAGGUAUGGAAUUCGAGAUGGGUUUGGGUAUCCAAACCCGAACUCCACGGAUAUCCAUCUCAUAAUAUUGGGAAUUUGGUUCCCAUAUUCCAAAUUCAUUUGAAACUAUAUGUAUUAAAUAACUACGGCCUAAGAUGAUGAUGCAUUAAACAUAUUAUUAUAUUAACAUAAAAGGCUGGAGUUCGCUCUGCUCAAGGGAAGUCGAUGCUUUGAGGAGGGCGAAGAGCUUGAGGGUUGAAUCGAAGCCGGGUCAAGAAGUGGUCGGCUAGGGAUUUCAUCACUCUGUUUCUUGCCUUGUUCUUGGUUUGGCCAGAGUCAUCUUCUGCAGCUAGCUUGCUUUCUUUGUCUUUCACUCCUAUGUUGUACUUCUAAUUCUUCAAAUUAUUUGUUCGGUUUGUCGGAAGUCUGAUUGGUGUAACAGUGCAAGCAGAACACCCUGUUCCUGCAUUUAUUUUGUAAUGACAUUGAAGAAGAAUCGUUAACUCUCUGUUUCACUGCUUUUAAACCGCAAAAAUCAGAGGAAAAACCAGCCACAACUUGAUAUGCUCAUAUGCAUAACUCAUUUUCACUUCCGAAUUCUUUUCGCUGUCAUAUAAGUAAUCUAUGGAUGAAAUAAAGACAAAAUCAUAAUCCAGUAGAACCAAACUCAUAAUCCAUGCAAUAAAGACUUCAGUCAUCCAUUAUUUGUUCAGUCAGAACUAUAACUAUUUGAAGACUUAAAGAAUGCUCUUGCCAAUGAACCAGCUGUUGUCAAGGUGAGAAGAAGAACAGUAAAAAACGAGAAGAAGCGCGACGUCGAACUGAGAAAAGAACGGGAAGAAGCGAGAAGAAUCGCUGAAUAGGGCGAGCGUGAUGUCGUUGGGUUGGCCAGCCGCCUCGCUGCUUUGUGAAGGGCGGUGAGAACGAGGGGUGAGCAACUGAGCCCAAAAUUUUUCUUUUUUCCUGGUGACUCGUGACAAGAUUAGGGAUUUAAAGCUGUUUUCGGCUUUUCGCUAUGACUUGCGGUUUGCAGUUUUAAACCACAAACCUACCGAACCGCGAACUGCUAAUUGGAAAAAACCGCUCCGCAUAUAAAACUGCAAUGUGGUGCGGAUUGUUUUUUUUAGGUUCGGUGCGUUGCGGUUUCAAAUGGCCAGCCCUAGUGAUUACAGAUAGACAGCGUGUUUCACCAUAUGGAAUUCCAAUUCUAGUGGAAUUGAUGUUUUUACGAAGGGAAUCAAAAAAUUGGUAAAUUCUUGCUCCUAAUUUCUAGCGGAAAACUAUGCCUAAAAUAAAAAAUACAAUUCAACAAUUAGAAAAAUUUCAAAACAAAGUAAACAAAACCUUAUUAUUAUUGAGAUAAAAGUAUGAGGGCAGUAACACUCAUUAUUAUAUGUACCCGUCACACAAUGUUAACAACUGCCGAUACAACGCUAGUAAAUUUGGAGAAAAUCGAGGUAGCUUUUUAAAAAUAAUAUCAAUCAUGCGUGGUUUUGGAAGAGACGUCGGGGGCAUCUGGAUGUGCCGGAGGCUGGUCAGAUGAUUUUGCUGGAUUAUUGUGAUUAGUACCAGUGUUCCUCCUAAACACAUUGGUGAACCCCAAAUACCUCUUGAACUUCCUGAACACCCCCUGUUGGGUCGACGCUUGCUGCUUCGCCCCUGCGCUUUCCUCCGAUGCUCCUUUUUCGUUCUCCGUUGAGACCGAUGAUUCCUUGCCUUCCUGCUUGUCUGCAGCUACUACUUCACUUUCAGCCUCUUUACCAGUGGUGGGAGUAAUGAUAGUAGUAGUAGUAGUAGGGGUAAUGGUGGCAGUGGUUUUUGCUGAGGAAGCAAAUAGUGUAGACUUCUUAAGCCAGUAUUGGUCAAGUCGUUGUCUUGCGUAUGCCGAGUAAUCGAACUCAAUUUUGUUAACAUGUUCCUGUGGUACACAUAGAACAAACAAAUUGCACAUAUCAUUGUAACUAUAUGUGCUAAUAACUGGCAUCCCUUGCAUGCAUAUAUCCCCACCAUCUAUGUAUAUUAUAUCUAACGUAUACCGAUGUUUCUAGCUAGGCUUCAUCAUGGCUGGAAAUUUGGGUUUGGUUAUUCAGUUUAACAGAAUUUGUAACUGAUUUCAAAAUAAUCGUCGGCUCAAAUGGACAAUGACUAGAGUUCGGCUGCAGUUCUAAGAAUUUAACCGGUUAAAAUGUGCUAACCCAGUUGACAUGCAAGUCGAAAUCGGUUACGGUUAAUUCAAAUUCAACAAGACUGCGGCCAUAAUUUAUUGUUUUGAGCCGGACUUGAAAUUAGGUGAAUUUGAAAAUCGGUGAAGUUUACCGGAUUUCGACCAAAUUAUCAACCUUAGAAGUCAGAACUCAAGUUGUCUAAGGUGAAAGAAGAAUAUAAUAAAAAGUUAAGCUCUUUAAUUACCGAUAUUAUGCCCCAUAAGCCCCAAAACAGAUGGCUCCCAAGUGUGUAAUUCUCAACAUCUUGAAGAAAUGGUUCCACCUCUUUGCCACCAUGAGGUUCCGCUGUGCACAGACAAUACACCACAGUUUCAAAACUCUGACCAUAUCAGUAUGAACAUUACAGAAAAGUCCUAAUAAUCACCAUUGAAGUGAAGGGGUGUGUUGAUUUCGGCAGCGUUAUGUAAUAUUCUUUGUUAUCACAUCUCUAUCCCGAAGUUUUAGUAAUCGCUAAAAUGAGGUGUAGAGUGGGGUGACACUCUUGUAGUAAUUGUUGGGGAUGUAUAACUAAUUACUUUCUAAAUUAAAAAUUUUGCUGAAAAUGCCACAUAGACAUAUUGAAUUAAUUUUCUAAACAAAAUAUUAAAAGCACGUUUGGUUUUGGUGUUCGGAGUAAAAUGCUAGUUUCUUUAAAUUCCUUAUUUAGUAAGAGAAAUGAAUUUCAAAAUUUAUAUAUUUAAGGAAAAAAUUGAGCUCCAAGUUAAAAAAUAAAAACAAAACUCAAAACUCAACAAAAGAUGAGUUUGUGGGUUUUAAAUUUGUAAUUUGUCUACAUAUUUAGAAUUCUAAUCCUAUUAUCUUGAUAAGGUUUACUAUUAAUUUUUUAAGAAAAAGAGGAAAAUACAGUAAUGAACCCAAAAUUAUAUGUGUCUACUCGAAACUCAACCAUAAAUAAAUACUUUUCAAAUAAAGAUGAUGAGAAUAAUACUAGUUUCUUAAAAUACACCAUUUUAAAAACUAUUGUUUUGAAAGAAUUAUCGAUUUUUCAAAACACAAAAAUCAAACGUGACCUUAAAUAAAUUUAUUUUAUAUGAAUAAUGAGAGAAAAAAUAUUAUAAGGUAAACUAUAUUGUAGCCUUGUAGGAGUUGCUACAAAACUACAAGAAAUGUAGACGUUUAAAAAUUACUUAACGAGUUAAAUUACCAAAACUCUUAUUAAAAAUGGUUAAAACCAUUUUUCAAAAUAAUAUUCUAACAAGUUCCAGAUAGUAAACCAAUAGAUAGCUAGGGAGCUUGAGAUUGUUGAAAUUUCACAAACAUGCAUGAUGAAGCUCCACAGAUAUAAGCCCAGUAGGCCACAACAUGAUGGGACAUUAUAAUUAUGAUUCAAAGAGAUAUACAGUACCUGAAGAACUCAGAUACGCAUUCACAAAUCUUCUGCGCUCCUCCACACCUAAUUUAACACCAACACACCCAUCUCUGUCAAAAGGUCAAUGAAAAGAAAACGAUAGCAUUAGUUAAUCCAAACUGUUGAUUACCCACGUACGUACCAGGGUAUUUGCUAUAAUCCAAUACAUGGGGUGUCUCUGUGUGAUAGUCCGCAGCCAUCUCACAAAAGUGAUUUGCCAAAUCGAAGGCAACUGGGUUGUAACUUGCAUACUCGUAGCCCUGAUUUAAAAACAAAAAUAAUUAAUUAAGGAGACUGAACAAUUAGAGCUAGCAUUCGUCCAUUAUACAAUAAGCUGACUUACUAUUAUGGUCACUGCUUUGGUUUCUUCAUCAAUCAUUAGGUUACCAUACUGCAAAUCAUUGUGGCAAAACCCAACGUAUUGGUUGGUGGAGAGUUCCUUCUCGAGAAAUGUAAUUUCACCGUCAAGUUCAUCCAACCGAAAUGUUUUAGCUUCAUCGGCAGAGCAUGUGUCUUUUGCUACUUGCAGCCACUUUCUGAAUUCUGAAUUUCGUUACCACAGUUCAACAUAUCAAGACAAGAAAAAGAGAUGGAAAAUAUACCUCAGCUUAUCCCAGAGGUAGACAACUUUUUGACCAGGCAUCUCAAGGCUAUGGAACUCCCUCAUUUUUGCUGCUAUAAGCAGGGAGAUGUCUUUAUCACACAGAUCAGAAGCUGACAGUGUCUGAAACAUCACAUGUACCGCUGUGAGUCACAUUAACACUAAGAUAAACACACAAAGGCGUUAUAUUUAUUAUUCAUUAUUAAUGCGUACUUAAGUUGCAUUAGUUUCUGUUAUACUAUUCAUUAUGAAUGUCUACUUCUAACUACAAUAUUCCCAUUUGGUAUGAGUAUCACAGCUUGCCGAUAAGUGCCGCAAAACAACUUGUUUUAUAUGGUGUAUUGGGUUAGGAGAAUUAGAAAUGGAAUGGCGUCCGAAUUAGCAUGCCGUUUUUAUAUAUUAUUUUCGCGUCCAUUUAUUUUGAUGUACGCCUUUUUAAGGGUGUGAUUCAUUUGUAAACGAUAUAAUAGUUCAACAACCGAUUUCGAAAAAAACUAUAAGAUAAAGCACUUAGGUUGCCUUCUAACUCCAAAAUAAAGUCACAUUACACUAUUCAUUGUUCACCUUUUUCCACCAAUUUAAUUUUCUGUAGCUUUCUCCAUUAGUUACUUUGUUAGAUAAAGUAACGUAGGUGGAUGAUGGGAUGGGUUUAGUGGUGAGAAUUAAGUUAGGUUAUAACAAGAUUUAGUUAGGUUAAGUUGAUCGGAUUUCGAUAAAUCUGAAAGCCUAAACUAAAUAAAGUCAGGUCGAACUCAGGUCUAUACAAUGUAUAAAUUCGGGUUUUCAAAAAAUUUCGANNNNNNNNNNNNNNNNNNNNNNNNNNNNNNNNNNNNNNNNNNNNNNNNNNNNNNNNNNNNNNNNNNNNNNNNNNNNNNNNNNNNNNNNNNNNNNNNNNNNNNNNNNNNNNNNNNNNNNAUAAUACAUUUUGGUGAUUUGGUUAUCAGUAGUGAAAAUCUGAUCAAGCCAAGUUUCAGGUAACGAAUAUAUUUUGAGAUUAAAUGGUGAGGGUAAAUCUGAGAUAAUGAGAUAAUAAAUGAAUGUGGGCUAACCAUAUAUUCUUCUCUUCCUUCAAAUUUUACAUAUAUAGGUAAUAUUUUAAAAUCCCUACUAACAUGUAUUUGGGAUUAUGAAAUACAUGUAUUUCAUGCAUUAUUUUUUCAUACCAAAUAAAGGAAUUAAUCAAAUAUAUGAGUUUCUAAAUACAUGACUUAAAAUCACCCCAUAUCAAAUAAGGUCUUACAUGUAAUAAUUGGUUGAGCCACUAAUAUCCACCUAAUUAAGUUAUGUAUUAUUUUAAUUUUUUUUUUUUGGGGUUCAUACAGCUUCAAAAGGAAACGAGUAAAAAAAAAUAGUGAAAUUUAAACGUAAAAUCAGAAUAAAAAAUGAAUUAAGUAGUAAUUGAUGAUCAAAGUAAAAUUACCCGAGCACGAAUGAACUCUUCAAUCCUGCCACUAGAAAAGCGACCGAGCAGACGUGGCCCAUGCCCUUGUUUGGACAUGAGCUCAAAUGUGCGGAUCUCAUCGUCUUUGUCAAAGAAAACCUCAACGCCCACCCCGUAGAUUCGAACGAUGACUUUAUGAGAGAGUUCGCCGGCCUUGGUUGGCCAUUUGAUUUGGAAGACCUCGUUGGUCAUAGCACCUUUAAGAGGGAUGAUUUGUAAUGAGUUCGCAUCGGUCACAUCUUCCCACCUUGAUGCCAACGAUUUCAGCAUCUCCUUCGCCUCUCCCGGUACACGCUCUUCCGGCGUCCGUUCAUCUUUCUUGCCGGCACCCAUAUCAAACGAGAUUCUGAGCUUUUUUUUUUUUUGGUUUGGAAUUAGAUAGAAAUGGGAGUAGUGGGGAAAUGGGUAGUUUUGGUUUCGCAGUGGGAAAUGGCAGGGAAAGGGAGAAGAGACAUAAGAGAAGAAUGUUGUUAUGGAAGUGAGAGGAUGAACGAUAAGGAAGGGUGCGAGUUAACAGGAGAGGAGAAUUCGGGUUACAUCUCUUCUCUUGUAAACUAUUUUAAUCUUCUUAAGAUAAGUUUAGCAACUCUUCAAACUUAAAUGGCUACAUCAAUGGUUAAACAAGUCGAUUGUUAUCUGACGCAGUUAAAAAAAUGUUGUAUGAUACAUUUUGACUUAAUUUAUCGAUUUAUUAACUUAGCCCAACUCAAUCCAAUUCGUACGAAUUGGGUCAGGUUAAUAAGAGAACAAGCUAGUAUGAGAUGGAUUUUCUUGUAAUCCAAAUAGAGUUGAGUUAAGAAAAUUUUAACUCUCAUAAAACCCAACCCAACCCAACCCAAAUUUUAUUUUGAGCCUGAUUCCUCCCCUCUCCCUGCUUCGAAUCUGCGAAUUGCCCGCCGCCGCCCUUCUUUACGGCUACUGCCACCUUCAGAGCACGAGACGCCAUGCCCGCCUCCGCCUCCACUAGUGUCGAUUGCAACAUUUGGAAGCAAGGUACGACAUGAUUGAACGACUGGAGAGUUGCAAUGGUGGUCCAGAAUCCAUAUCAUAAUCGAGAUCUAGGUCGAAACGGCCGUCCCAUCUGUGAACCCUAGUUAGCUACUUUCCGUCUGUGAACAGAGGCAGCUUUGAGGAGAUCAAGGUACUUCUUUAUAUGUGAUUUUGGUUUUCUGAACUGGGUUUAGGAUUACAAAUUUGGACUCUUGAUUUUGAAAACUACUGUACUUACACGAUAAGAAAUGUGGUUUGGAUAAUGGACUUAUGGUGCUGGCGAUUGUGACUCAAAGAUUUGUUUUCAGCCCGAUUUCUGAAUUGCCAGCCUCUCUGAAGUCUGACCUAGUGAGCUCGCCUCUCUCCAAUUUCGAGCAGCAGCUGCCUUGUCUUGUUCAAGUAAACGCAGCUGACAGCUUCUCUACUCGACGAGCUCCGACGACCCGAUUUCUACGGUGGCGAGAUCGAGUUGCAGUAGUCUAGAUCGAAACCAAGCGAAUGCCUAAAAUUUUAAUCUACUGAUAUAGUCGUCUCAGUAUCUUUUCUCUGAUCCAUCGCUCUUUUCCAAUAUGUCACUCAUCUCAAAUAUGGUGGUGUUCGUCGCUCGUCAGGUUGAAAAGAAAGGCUAAGCUGAAGGGAGAUUCCUGUUUUAUGUUCUGAAUUGCUCUAUGCUUGAGAUUGAUGUUUGAAUUGCAGAGAUUGAUGUUUGAGGCAGGAGAUCAAAGGUAUGACAGUUGAAGAUAAUAAAGAGUAACGUAUUUCAAUCGGAGAUGAAAAGAUAUUUUUGUUAUUUUAAUAGUUCACGGUGAGUUUUCAUGUAUUGAAAAUAUAAUAUAAGGUGUUAGUUCUGAUACACCUUGACGUGACGCCUACCUGAGCGAUGACUAAGCAUCCACUUAAUUUUCACAUAUUAAUUAUAUUUAAUAUUUUAAAAAAAUCAUCAACAUUGAUUGUAUGUAUUUUUUAAUUAAUAUACUUUAAAUUAUAAUGAAUCAUAAUUAUAUUUAUCAAGUACAUUCAAUUCAAUCGUUUAAAAUUAAUAAUAAAAUACUUCAUUAAUUAUUCUGAUCAAUUAUAAUGUUGAUAUAACAAUUAUCAAUCUCAACUAUCCCUUCCAUUUCCCGACUACUCCUGCGGCCACCUCCACAACCGCCUCCCUGAACCUCCCAUCCCUAAGGAUGCCCACCUCCACCAUCGCACCACACUGCAUCCCUCUACCUCUUAUCCCUAAAAUCGCAAUUUUCCUCCUCGUUGUCAAAGUAGAAUCUCAAAAGGCAAGGCAAAAUUACGAAUAAAAAUCAUUUAACACAGAUUGUUAGUUUUUCCCAUCCAUCAACAUUCUCAUUCAUUAACACCGGGAAUGAUAAUUUUCUCAAUAUACAUCAUUCAACAAUCAUUCAACAAUUCAUAUCUCAUUCAAUUUUAAAACUUAUUCUUAACGUAAGUCAUUGCAAAAAAUACUCUCCCAACACUUAUUAUUAUAAAAAAAAAGUUCGAAUGCCAGGUGUGCAAAGGGCCUAACGAGGAUAUUAUCUAUUGUCUCUUCACAUGCCACCAUGCCGAGAGAAUUUGGAGAGACAAAUUGCCUCACAUUAUCUUCCCUUUAAUGGCGGCUACCCUUCCUAGUUGGAUGGAGUCCUUUCAGCAAAGGGCGUCUUCCAACACCAUUGAGAAGUUCAUUGCAUCAGUAUGAUGUAUAUGGUGAGCUAGAAAUGAAUGCAGCUUUAGGCAAAAAAAUCUUCUUUGGUGAGCUCGAUAAUUCAUAUUGACUAGUUGUUAGUGGAUUGGAGUGGAUUGAGAAAUCUAAGUUUUCAACAAAAGAUGAACAAAAGUGAAAACACAUUAGCUACAAUCCUAAGUUUUCAACAAUAUAUGAUAAAAUAUUAUAUAUAAACUUUGAUAAACUUUAUUUCAUGUCCGUGGUAUUGCUAAUAUGAUGUAUCUUUCUUAUUUGUAAAUGAAUCUCGAUGAGUUAUAAUUUUCGAUAGGGCAUUCCUAUCAUUAAAAUUAAAAAUAGUGAGUUUAUGAAAAUACUGAAGUUUUAGUUGAUAUAUAUCUAGUAUCAUAAUGUUAAGUGUUCAAUUAUUUAACACUUACAGUACAAGAAUACGGAGCCGUUCUCGCGGUUAUAACCACGAGAACGAUCAUUGUCGCAGUUCCCCGCAACCUCCACCCUGAUAACGGGCUCGUUUUUAUCAGUUACUUAACCCCGACAACAGACAAUGUAGGUUGUCGCCGCGACAACGGACAUAAACCGUCUCAGCUGACCGUCGCCGUCUGUUAAUUUCGUUCUCGCGGUUAUAUAACCUCGACAAUGGACAAUGUAAAAUUUUAGAUUUGUCAGUUCUCGUAGUUUUGGGUUUCAUACAACCGCGAGAACCGACACUAUCAUUUUUCACGCUUGUCGGUUCUGGGUUUCAUAUAACUGCGAGAAUCGACAAAAAAAUUUCACAACAGUAGUUCAUUUCAGCUGCUUUGUAACGUCCAUUAAAUGACAUCUAUUUUAUAGAUUCGUUCAAAAACCAGCAUACCAAGCUUUUAAACACAUUAGAGCAUUAAUAUUCAUAAUUCAAAGAUGCACACAUAAAACAUAUUACAAGUGUUUAGGAACACAUUAAACAUCCUACAAAUAUUGAGAAAGACAUUAAACUUCAUUGUUACAAGUCUUCUCCAACACAUAAUCAAAUUCAUACAAGAGUCUUGAAACACAUAAUCAAAUUCAUACAAGUGUUCAAUAUUGCACUUUAAUCUAAUUCAACCUCCUCUUCUUCGGAUUCAAAACCAUCGCUCAAGAUGAAAUAUAGCUACAUAUAAUACGGAAAGAUUGUUACUAAACCUAUGAAGAAGUAAAUUCAUAUUCUCAAUCAAUAUAUAGUGGAAUAAAACUUACCUGUUCAGCCUUUUUUAUGUUGGUCACCUUGUUUUUCAACUGAGCAACUCGUUGUGCCCAUUCAGCCUCCCUCCUACGAUACUCAGCCUCUCUUACAGCAUCCCUCUGCAUCCACUGUUCUUGCAUGCGAAGAAGUGUGUCUUCAUAUUCAGGACGACCAUCAACCGUGUGUGCAAAUGAAUAAGUGCCUCCACAAACUCGACUACUUGAGGUUGUGCAAUUUAGCUAAGAAGUUGUAAUCAAUUGUUUUAACUAUGAUGUUUGUGUAAAAUUUUCUCAUUCUACAAAACAUAUAGUAUUGAGCCAUCAUAAUACCCUAAGUAAUCAAUUGCUCUAACUAUCAUAUAGUUUACUCAUUUUAACGUAUCAUAUAUAUUACCUAACUAACUUAGAAAUUUCUAAUUAUGUUCACAUUACCACAUUAAUAAGUUUAGUAAUUCAUUUAAUGAAUAAAUUUACCAUUUUCAUCCCUAAUUUGUUUAACAAUUUCUAUUCAUCAUUUAUAUAUUUCUUAAUAAUAUUUUUUUACCAAUAAUAAUAGAUCAUUCAUAAUAUAAAUCAUAAUCAUAAAUAUUUUUCUUAAAACGUGGUCUAAUUGUUUAUGUGGCGCUGCUAAUUAAUUUUCUAAAUUAAAAAGCUUUCUAAUUUAUCAAGUUUAUGUGGCUCCUUAAUAAAUACAUUUAGGUGUCACAUCACCUUUUACAUCAUUUUAACAUGAUUAAAAUUUUGUAAUGCUAAUAUAAAUUAAAGUAUGUUUUGUUUUUUUUUUAAAAAUUUCCUUUUUUUGCGUGCUUUGACCAGACCCGGACGAGCGUCAUGGGUUUAUUGGGUUCUGUCCACGGGUUUCAUGGGUUUAGUAUCCGGGCCUCGAGGAUUUGUUUCCACAAAACCGUUGCAGGUCGCUGGUUGACAGUAGCCCGUUUAUCGGGCUUCCUGGCCCGCCAUUCUUGCUGGGUCACGAUUUUCCAGGGCCGGGUCUGAUAACAUUAAACUGCCGUCGGGAGGGAGGCGUAAAUACGGUGAACAAAAACCCCUAAUUCCCUAAACCCUCUUCCGCUUCGGUCAAUCGCCCCCCUUUCUGUCUCAUUCCACUCUUCCUUCCUCACCAGUUUGGUCUACUCCUUCAACCAGGGUUUGCUAUUCUCCUUUUCCCUUGUUCGGCGACGGACUUCGACCCUGGACGACGUAUCAGGGUUGAGAUGCCGAAGAACGUUUACAGGAAUAGCUCACUCGCAUGGAAGCCCUCUCCAGUUGUAGCCCUAGCUACCAGUGCCGAUGACUCCCAAGUUGCCGCCGCUAGGGAGGAUGGCUCCAUGGAGAUUUGGCUUGUCUCGCCUGGCUCAGUUGGGUGGCACUGCCAGCUGGUAAAUAUCUGUUCCCCAUUUCUUUUUUCGUGUAAAUAUGGAAGACACUUGGAAUAAGGGGAGUUGGUGAAAGGCUUUGAGUGGUUGUUGUAUGUAGACAAUUCAUGGAGAUUCUAGUUCGAGGGUUUCGUCGCUUGUGUGGUGUCGCACUGGCUCAGAGGGACUGCCUUGUGGUAGAUUGUUCUCAUCAAGCAUUGAUGGCUCUAUAUCAGAAUGGGACCUCUUUCACUUGGAGCAGAAGGUGAGAUUUUUUCUGUUCCAUUCAGCGUCUUCGUGUUGGAAGCCUUGCCCUGAUUUUGUACUGUUUUGUUGCUACUGCGUGAUAAAACUUGUCCCAUUCAAACCUUUUUUAAAGAAAUGCUACCACCAGAGGUGUUCGUUCCAUAUGGUAAUGGUUUACUUGUAGAUAGGGUGGGAUGUCAUCUGACUGACACUUGUCUUUCAGAAUCAUCACUCCGUGUAACUCGGUCUAGGGACGGAUAUUGGAUUGAGAGGGUGAUUGAAUCUGAUCUAAAUGACAUAACAAAUAAUAUUGCGGAACCUACUGCACAUUUCUUUACCUUACAAUAACAUUCAACCAUUUGAUUUCCUUAAGUUGGGCACAACGUAGGAUAGUUGAUACGUCUAAAUUCAGUAUCAGACUUGAUUAUAGUUUUGUGUUAGCUAAUGGAAUAUAUGGGUUUACCAAAAAAGUUUAUCACCAAAUUUGUGGCUAGACCGGACAUGAAGUUGCACCAAAUCAGACUGCAAAAACCUAUUGAUAUAUAUCGCUUAAAGAAGAUGUAAGCAUUGACUUAUUUUUGCCUCUAGUCCACAUGACAGUUUUUAUUUGUCUACAGAUUGUUCUGGAGUCUAUUGGCUUCUCAAUUUGGCAGAUGUCUGUUGCACCUCAAUGUGCUUCACUGAUUCAUCCGGAGGUCAUAUCUCUGGACUUGGGAAAUGGCUUCUUGAAUCACAGUCAUAAUGACGACCACGAUGAUGAAUCAAGUGAAAGUGAUAAUGACUCGAGUUCUGAUGAGCUUCACAAUCCAGUUUCUGCAGAUACACGCUUGGCUAUUGCAUGUGAUGAUGGUUGUGUGCGUCUAUACACUAUUCCUGAGUCAGAUGAGUUGGUUUACAAUAGAACAUUGUCUAGGGUCAGUGGUGAGAUAUCUAGACCCCUGUACUGCUGCCUUCAUGUUAUAUCCUUUUACAUGUGUGAUAGCUGGUUAUUCAAUUUUAUGUUGCAGGACGCACUUUGAGUGUGACAUGGAGUUCGGAUGCUACUAGGAUUUUCUCAGGCAGCAGUGAUGGGUAAGUGCUUUAAUGAAUCAAAUGACUUUAUCCAAAUCCAGUCUUCAUAUCAGCUGAACCUCCAUGCUGUUUCAUUAAGUAUCAGUGUUCUUGAUGCUUCGUACCUGAAUAAAGUAUUUCAAAAGCAGAGACUGUUUUAGGCAUUUUACUAAUUCAGUGAACUAUUAAUUUUUUCCUGAUAACCCAGUCUUAUGUACUGUUUUCCUAUUGCCAGUUUUGUUAGAUGCUGGGAUGCUUCACUUGGCCAUGAGAUAUAUCGGAUAACAGUUGGGCUUGGUGGUCUGGGUGGUGGAACUGAAAUUCGUGUGUGGUCUCUACUUGCGCUGAGGUACGAAUAGCAUUACCCCAAUUGUGUUGGUUGCUUGAAGAAUUAGGGGUUUUUAAUGAUGUUGUGUCCUGGCUUUGCAUAUGCAUUCAUCUUCCUUUGUAGAUGUGGGACACUCGUUAGUGCAGACAGUACUGGAACCGUUCAGUUUUGGGACUCUCAGCAUGGGACUUUACUGCAGGCACAUUCGUAUCAUAAAGGUGAUGUGAAUGCUUUGGCAGUCGCUCCUAGUCACAACAGGGUAUUCUCUGCUGGAGCAGAUGGUCAGGUAUUAGUUAUAACCUUUAAAUUUUGGGCAGUCCUUGUUUUAGUUUGUCUUAUGAUGUCUGUACACCAAAGAUAUUGUUUUGCUUGUACUCUUUACAAUGGCUAUGUGAAUGUGUUUUUAUUGUUUUGUGAUUUUUUUGUCUACUCCUAGGUCAUUCUCUAUAAGCUUUCUGGUGAGAUAGGAUCUAGUGAUGAUACAUCUACAUCCACGGUGAUGAGGAGGUGGGUGUAUGUGGGUUAUGUCAGAGCUCAUACACAUGAUAUUAGAGCCUUGACAAUGGCUGUACCGAUCUGCCGUGAAGGUAUGCGACUCACUCAUACAUUAUAGUCAUUUUGUUUCUAUGAUUGUUAUUUUGUAGUCAUUUUGCAUCUUCUAAUGCUUUUGUCAUGGCUUUUGUUUUAUAUCUUCUCGUGAUUUUAUGAACAGAUGCACUAUCUGAGGAAAAGGUGAAGAAAGACCGGAAGAGGAGGCGUCAUGUUGAAUUCAGCUAUCACAAGUGGGCGCAUUUAGGAGUUCCCAUGCUUAUAUCUGCCAGUGAUGACACAAAGUUGUUCGCGUAUUCUGCGAAGGAGUUCUCUAAGUUCUCGCCGCAUGAUAUUUGUCCUGCACCUCAGAGAAUGCCUGUCCACUUGGUCCCUAAUACAAUCUCCAACAAGAACCCUUUACUUCUUGUCCAGGCAUCUAGUACUUUGGAUAUUUUUCGUGUCCGCACAGAGGAUGGAAACAUCUCAGAUAUUGUUUCUGGUACAUCAAAGGGCCUUGCAAAGACAGUUUUGAGGGCUCAAAUAAUAUCUAAAAAGAAGAUCAUAUGCAGCUGCAUUAGCAAUUCUGGAAUGUUACUUGCUUACUCGGAUCACAAGAAGUCUAAUUUAUUUGAUUUGAAGAUGCAUGUUGACCCUAAAACACCAUGGAAAGUUACCAAAAGGGAAGCUAGCGAAGAGGAAGCUUGCAAGGAGUUGCCAUAUGCACAAUGUAUGGCCUUUAGUUCGGAUUCUUCAAGGCUAAUAUUGGCAUGCCAUAACAGAAGGAUAUAUGUACGCUUUUCUCCUGGUUAUACCCUCUUGUUCUUUGUCAUAAUUGUGAUUGGUUAAGCUUAAUUAAGUUAACUAUGCCAAUGCCUUGAUUGAUGAGUCAUUUAUUCCAGUUUGCCUCAUUUUGAUUCCUACAUUGCUGAGGUGGGAAUUCUGGGUUGUGUUUAGUGUUGGUUUUUGUGAUAUUUUUAGCAAAUAGUUUUCCUCUGUUUUCUUUUUAAUAAUGAUGCCUUUUGUAUAUCAAGUGGGCCGUAUCUCAUAAAUGCAUGGUUUGCUGCAGAUUGUGGAUGUGGAUAGCUUGAAAAUAGUGCAUACCUUCACACCCCAACGUCACGAUUACAAUGAAGAAUCACCAACCAGUGAGCCGCCAGUGACAAAACUGUUUACUAGCAAUGAUGGGCAGUGGUUAGCUGCUGUUAAUUGCUUUGGUGAUAUAUAUGUGUUCGACAUGGAGACACAAAGGUGUGAAGAAACCCCCCCCCCCUUUUUCUAAUCUUGUUUUGCAGAAUUUCAACUUGGUUUUUCUAGCUUUCUUUCAUUACAUACAUUUUAGUUCUUAUCCCCUGAUUUUGGGGUAUAUUACAAUUAUCUCGCUUCAAAAUAUUCGAGGAAGAUGGCGUCCCCUUGAUUGUUCUAAGAGACCUGUUUCCUGCUAGUUCUGUCCUUAACCGUACUAAUACUGAAUAUAGAAUUGGUCCUCUUAUCACCUCUGAUUAUUACAGAAACUUGAACUUUUGAGAUCAUUAAUUUAAUGUGGUAUUAUCAUGGGUGGGUACACGUCUAGUGGAAGCCCCGUUUAUUUGGUUGUUAUUAUACAUGCUGAAUAUAGACUCGUUACACAGAAUGUAAAUAUGCCCUCGUUUUCUCCAUGAUACAGGCAACAUUGGUUCAUCUCAAGACUAGAUGGUGCCUCAGUUACUGCUGGAGGUUUCCCCCCACAGAAUAGCAAUGUGCUUGUAGUCACUACCUCCACGAACCAAGUCUAUGCAUUUGACGUGGAAGCAAAACAGUUAGGGGAAUGGUCACAACGGAAUUCAUCUUUUUUGCCGAAGACGUACCAGGAGUUUCCUGGAGAAGUUAUUGGUCUCUCUUUUCUGCCUUUAUCAAACUCUACAUCUGCCAUCAUAUAUAGUUCCAGGUAAACAAGCUACUGCCUUUUUUCCAUUGAAAGAUUAAAUGCUGAUUUGCGAACUGUACAACUGGGUUCUUGAUAAGCCGUUUAUCCUAAUUUGAUCUCUAGUUCUUUGAUAUCUGACCUGUUAAACUGCGGUUUAUUAUAGCUGUGUUUAUCACAAUCUGCUUCACCGUUUCAUCUUUAUGAUGCAUGCAGGGCAAUGUGUCUGAUAGAUUUUGGGAUGCCAGUGGAAAGAGAGGAAGAUAGUGGUUCACGAUUAGUUAGAUUAAAAAGCUCUGCAACCAACAAGGCUAGUCUGAAACGCACAAGAAAAGAGUAUGAAACGAAGAUUGAAAACAGGAAGAACUUCGAGUUUGUUCCUUUCAAUAAUCCAGUUUUAUUUGUGGGACACCUUUCAGAGACCGGCAUAUUGAUCUUAGACAAGCCAUGGUUGAAGGUAGUUAAACUCUUAAAAUCUGCUCCAGUGCACAGACAUAUAUUUGGCACUUAAAAGGGAAAAGGAAAAAAUUUGGAGAUAUCAGCGAAGGAGGCUGUCUGAAGCAGAGAGUUCAAGAACAGAUGCUUUGGUAUUUGCAUGGCUUCCUGAGUGUUUUGUGUUGGCAUGGAAUCUUCGGAACUUCUGCUUGGUCGUGCAGGCAAGGUUUGGUUGGUGAUGGACUGGUUGAGAAAAAAAGAAUGUUGUGGUAUCUACUAUUUAUUGUAUGCCUAGAGAUAUUAGUUUUUGUAACCUUGCGCAAUGCAAGUGCGUAGUCGAAAAAUUCUUCUACUGUUUGAGGAGUCUUUUCGACUCAGUUUUGUUUUCUAUUCUAAUUUUGAUCCCCAGUUUCCUUCAAUACGAAAUUAUGUAUAAUUGCACUCGCUAGAUUUAAUUUUAUGGCAGUUCAAUUUGGAAUGAGUUUUUGUGGUUGAAGAUAGACAUUUUGCAUUACACGAGAUAAGAAACAAAAAAAAUUAUAUUAUCGGUGUUUAUAUGUAGGGUAUGUUGAACUUGAACCUGAAACCUCUCAAAUUGCAAAUACAUAACUUAUUGUCCUAUUUUACGCAAGUACAAUAUAACCAAACACCUUACUCUAUGGUGAUUAAUAAUGUUCGGGUUGCUGUAUCUGAAUAUUGAGUGUCCUCUAGAACAUUUUUGGGAUAUUUUUGCGAUACUUAAACACUAUACAAAAGACUUCAGCACAACCAGAGCAGAAAGGCAAGGAUAUAUCAGAAAUGGCUUAAGUAUACCUUUAUCUGGAAACAACAUCCACAAGAACAAAAUCUUGGAACUCAUAUGUACUGCUACUAACACAGAGUCUAUUGUAGUGUAGGAUUGACUACUUCUCCACCCAUACCUUUCAAAAACAAACUUAGGCUGGGUGAAGAUUCUGCAUUCCUAACUCUAAUUCCCCUUUCUACCCCUCACAAAUAUAUACAUCUCACACAAACAGUUGCUGGAAUCUUAUACAACCUCACAGUUCUUAUUACCCUGGAACUGGCCUCCAAUCCUUGAUUCACAAUCAGCUGUGGAUUCGAGACUGCAUUACUAAUGCGCAACAGUUCCUGAUACUUGCAUGCCCCCAUCUGCUGCUUCAUGGAUCCAAGUACUGUGGCUGGAAGCUGGAACCUCAGCAUCACCGGGGAAUAUUUGGCUGUGAUGAACAGAGGUGAAGUGUUGUAGGUGGCUAUCAUUUGGCAAGAAUUCUUGGUCGGAGCUAGUUGGGGUUGAGAUGAGGUAGUCCAUCACAUCUAUGUCCAUCUUGUUAAACAUCAUGUUUGCAAUUGUUCUGUCGAUGGUGUUUGUCUGUGGUUCCAUUUCAUCGCCUCCACAACUGUAAUUUUAUUGGUAAGAGGUUAGUAACGAGUACAAGUAGAAGCCAAACAAACACUAAAAUGACGGCCAAGAAUGAAACUUUAUGCAGACCAACUGAAAAUAACAAGCAACAAGAACUAUUUGACCUCCUACUGGUAUUUAGAUUCAUGAAAAGAUAAGUUGGCUAAUGUUUGCGGAAAGAAAUAUAAUUAUAUACCCUCUCACCAAAACACGAGCUACGAGUUAUAGACUGGGAUGCAAAUAUGGUAAAAAGGGUUUUGAUUUGCCACAAGGUAUAACAGAUGUGUGCAAAUUUAAGUCCACCAGAUGGAGCUCUCUUUUCGUUAGUCUUAUGAAUGAAGGAGACCCGAGAGUCGAAAUGAAACAAUCUAAGAGUAAGAAGCAAGAUCUCUGUACCUAAGUUUGUCCUCUGAAACCCUCGACGAAGCAAUAUCCAUGCCAAGUUCUUUGUAUGCUACUUCAUUUGGUCUUGAACUUUUGGCCAAACGGUACAGAGCGUCACGAAAGCAAAGUCGGGUCUUUGUAGUCAACUGCAUAUUGAGAUAAGAAAGACAAGGAUUAGCAUCUCUUCUUUUCUUGCUCUGGUAAAGGAGUUCUCACAGCUUUUUAGAAUGCCACUGUUCUGUUCAUACCUGUGUCAUCACCAUUUGUAGCUCAUGUAGCGCUGACUCUUCGCGAGAUGGUUCGUUCUGGUCCUGGGCUUCCACAUCCAUGCAGUCAUCCUCAGAUGAUACCGAUACAGUAAAAGGUGGUACCUUUAAAAUGGAUUUAAUGUAUCAGUAUAGGCUGCAUCAUAAAUCACAACACAACCUUUUAGCCAUGAAAGCCAAGGAGUGAGGUAACCAAUAGAUGCUCAGUUCAGGAAGUAAUAGAGAAAAAUAAACAACAUCAUUUCGCGAGAGAUGCACUCAAAAUAUGAUUUCUUUACCGAAGAUGAGAUGAGGACAACCUUGGAUGCAUAUCUAAUAGACCUCUUAUUGUGUAAUUUAAUGAACAAUACAACUUAUGUGGGGAAGGUGUUACCUUUAGUUGUUGAAGACCUUUCCUCUCCAUAUGAUAUGGACUAAAAUGCGGCCGUUGACAAGAGCUUCCUGUAGCAAAGUCAUUGCUAGAUAUGGAGUCUGAAUCUAAUGUGGCUUCGGUCCAUAGUUCAUCAGCAGGAAUCAAGCGAUUCUGUGACUCUGAUGAAAAGCAAGGCGAGGAUUGAAGAUUUUCCAUUUCUUCAAGAUCAUCAAGCAAAGAGUUCCUGUAAAAGAAAGACAACCUCUUCAUCAGUAAAGUGAACAAUAAGAAUUCCUCUAUGCGAUAAGAGCACAAAUUCACACACGUUAGGAGGGGGUCGUACAUGACAUGAUCAUCCAUAUUCUCGAUCCCAGCAAGCCCCUUGGACUGGUAAUCUGGGCGGUGAGGAGAAAUAGCAGUGGUGGUAUGCUGAUGGGAAUCCUCCCGAACUGGCCCUGCGCCGAAACUGGAACAACUAGAUUGAUCUCUAUCCAGGACACUACCUUCCAUCUCCGACUGAUUACAACAAGUUUGACUAUCGAAUCUGAGUUGUUGUGGAGGAGUCAGAUUAGCACCAGGAAGGAAGUUCUUACUUGAAAAGUCAAAGUUAUUGGUAGAGUUUAGUCCCCAAUUGGACCAGCUAUCCGGAGAUUGAAACUCAUCAGAAGACAUUCCUUGAUCUUUAGGAACAAGAAGAUCAUCAUAUCUAAAGUAGCUAGCCAUAAGACCUUUUUCCUACAAAACAAACAAACGGUUGGUGAGAACUGAGAUCCAGUCCUACUCUACUCACCUAGUCUUCCAGAAAGACAAAAAAAAAG